rfam:Rhizobium lusitanum strain P1-7 genome assembly, contig: Ga0061101_163
GGAGGCUGGCCCUCCGGGAUCGGUUUUCGGGAGCGGGUCUCACCAGUCCGAGCUGCUGCGGUAAAGAGCCGUGGUGGUGAGCGUCGGAUGAAAAGUUCGGACGAGAUCGAGCAGGU